ACAUUUCUGCCUUUGCACCCUCUUGGCACUCCCAUAGGGCUCAGCUGCUUGAGAAUUCCGAGUGCAUGGGCUGAGUAUGGGGCUGCUCCCGGCCUUGGCUGAUACCACCUGGCUCUGCCCGGGACUUUGAAAGAUGCAAUCCGGAAGAGGAAACAAUAUCUGUGUUGAGAGUAACUGCCCUUGGCCUGAAUUCGUCAAACAGGAUUUAUUGGGAGAAGGGGAGAGAAAGGAGGAGGGAGACAAACACACAGAAAGUAUAUUCUGUAAACACAAGUCAAGGCAUCCUGCCACAUCCAGAUGGGAGGACGAUAGCAGAGGAAGCUGAUUUGAUGGCUCGUAACCCCGUGAGAAGAUUCCAAUCUUCAUUUGAAUAGCUCAUCCUGUGAACACCAGGCCAUCAAAUUCAAGUUACAGUGAGUGUGGUUUCAAUCCUUGUGCAUGUAAUUCUUUCCAGAAGCUCAUUUUAUUUAUUUA
rnacentral:lncRNA from 1 species